AAAUUAAAUUAAAUGAGAUGAAAUGAAAUGAAAUUAAAUUAAACGAUAAUGGCAGCUCCAUCUUGUUAGAAAGUACACAUCUUUAUAUUGAACGCGCUUUACAAUGUAAGGUUGUUGUACACAAUUUGGCAUGACGAAAAUGUCACCACCAGCAGCACCAACAAAUAGCAACAACAGCAACCACAACAACAACAUGCACACGCUUUGCCGAACGAAAAAAUGAAUCCAAAUUCAACACGUGAUUAUUCACAAUGGAUAUUGCUGAUGACAAAGGAAACAAAUCCACACCGUUGAACUAAAAACGAGCAGAAAAAGGAGAAUUGUGUUUUGAUCUGUCAUAUGGAGCAGUAAUACAAAUGUGUUCUUAAUCAAUAAUAAGAAUAAAAAGAUUAUAUGUUACGAACUUCAACAGGAAAAAAAUUUUAAUAACUGAUGGAGUCAAAAUACUCUAUUUCUACUCCCGAACACAUUAAAAGAUUAUCAAUUGUACUUCUAUAAAAUUCUAAAA